GUUAAUGCUGUGUGGAUGCUGUCGACCACCCUCCUCCCUUCUCUUUCUGCGCGCGCACCGCGCAUUCAUGUUAGUACGAUCGAUAUAACCACCGGGGUACCAGAUGAGAAGACGACCGCGUGUGGUUCAGUUCAGUCGCCCACCCUACAAUGCCGGCCGAUGACUGACAGUAAUAUAUAUGUGAUGUAAUGCAAAAUUUUAUUUGUUAGCUUGUAGAUUUAUCGUGUCUUGAAUUGUGCAAUGUUACUCAUAGCGUGAGUACCUAACUAUGUUCCUCAAUUCAUCGCUCUCCUCAUUAAAUAAUUGUCACCUAAGCAAAUUUAUUGAGUUGGACCUUAG
rnacentral:lncRNA from 1 species